GGAUCUACAUAUACACUCGCGUGCAUUCAGCAUAUCAACAGCUCACAAAGAAAACGUAACUUGCGGAAUGUUCCGCUAGAGUGACAUCGGUCAGUUCGUCGUAUGCAAGUUUUAAUAUGGCGAAACGGAGUCGUAAAGUUAAAUGGGAUAGAAUAUAUUUUGAUUCUAAUUCUGAUUCUAACUUUAAUUCAAAUAUUCAAGAAAAAUAUAAAACUGAAACAAUUGAAACAAGCGAGGUGAAUAAUGGUGAACAUUGUAGCGUUGAAAAUGAGGAAAUUGGAUAUCAGUGGACACACUGUGGUGUACAACUGAAAAUUUAUAAAUUUGGAGGGCAUGCGGUAAUUUUGAAUACUAUAAAUAUCAAAAAAAUAGAAAGCUCGGAUGAGAUUAAUAUACAUAUGACUAAAUAAUAAAUAAAACUUCGUACAAAACAACAAGACAUUCGGGGCACUGGUACAAUAAUACAAUGAUACAUUAAUAAUAAUAAUACAUGUUUUGGCCGAGCGACUUGGCUCGUUACAUUCAUCCACGAUGCAUAUACAAUUUGAGCCAGUCGACGCGACACUGCCACGGUUACGAAUAGGUUAAUUUGUGUUGAUAAAUUAACCUAUUCAAAUAUGAAAGACAAGGAAUGACGCGACGGGGUAUUUUUAUGCUUAUGUUGUCUUUGUCUUUCAAAACGUUCAACUGGGCCGACUAAUGUCAAGAAAAAUAUACGGUGGCAUCUAAAAGAGGUUACCUUGAUAUCGCAGAAAAUACAAGAUAUUAGAAAAUAAAAUUGCACCCAUUCGGUGAAUCCCAUGAAAUACAGCAUAAUUCAUUUAAGACAUUUUUCAAUAUAAACAAUAGGUAACAAGUUAUUUUAGAUAGUACUUCUUUUCGACUUACUCUGUAUAAAGAUAGAUAACAUGUUAAAAUGCAAACAAAAUCCUACUGUACAUGCACUUACGCAAUCAAAGAUUGUACUAGGCUUUAAGCCUAGCUGCAAUAAAUAAUAUACGUAUGUAUAUACAUUACUAGAGAUCUUUCGACAGGUCGUUAUGACUACUUCUUUCCACAACGCAUUUUCAUCUUUACUUACGAUGUACUUAUCGAAAAAAGCAGAAAAACGCAGAUUAUUUUUUUAUUAAAAUGCAUAAUCAGAUAAAUUAAUCAAACAGUAAAAUUUUAUUACUCUGUUUUAUAAGCACAAUUUAUGAUCCUUUUAUUUUUACUUCAGAUGAUCACUUUAUUGCGUUCUCUUAGCUUACGCGUGAUCACCAUAAAAACAGAAAAUAUUUUAGUGAAAAUUAAUCGUAUACAGGAUGUAUACUGAAAGCAUUUUUCAAGCAUUUCCGAUAAUUUGCCCAGAAAAAAACUUUAAAAGACAGUCAGUCAGUUUUUGACAUUUCAGUUUUCACAUUUGGAUAUUAGAAACUACCAAAAAAAUUUUUUUCGUUAAAAGAUAAUCACGUUGACUUUUUUAAAGGAUAUAUAUUUUGGGCUUUACAGAGUUGUAGCAAGACGAAUUCAAAGGCUCACUACACAAUAUUCUUGAGAUAACAUUGUAUUCAGCAAUUUAGGUUAGGUCAACAGAAAGAAUAUGGAAAAUUAUUUUAUUCCGAUCAAAUUACAUAUCCAAAAUAAGACUAAGACCGAUAAACUAAUAAGUUUAUUAAAAACUAUAUUAACUAUCCAACGAUAACAAUAAUACCGUUUUGCAUUACGAUAAACUACUGCUAUUGGUAGACCUUACAUUUCUGAAUUCAAGGUCAUCUUAAGAUUACCUCAAGGUCGUAAUAUAUCAGGUUAUUGAAUUUGUUUUGACGCUAGCUUUGACGCCAAUUACAACUCUGCGAAGUCCAAAAUAUUUAAAAAUAUCGAGAUGACCUUGAGUUUUUAUUGACAAAAUAUAUUUUUCAAAAAUUUCUAAUAUCCAAAUGUGUUUCGACAGGUCGAAAAAUGACUAAUUUUUGUCCAAAACAUUUCUUUGGUACAUUAUUGGCAAUACCUGGAAAAUGGUGGUUAAUCUUAGAAGAUACACCCUGCAUAUUAAAAGGCAUCCUAAGAUAAAUUCUUCUUUGAAAUAUAACUUUUUAAAUCGUGUUGUCAAAAAUAACAAGUAAUAAUAAGUUGUGACGUAAUCAAAUAUUUUAGAUAAAUGAAUUAAAAUAAAUAUUCCGCUACUCACUCA